ACACUCCUGCGGGAGGCAGCAGUGGGGAAUAUUGCACAAUGGGCGCAAGCCUGAUGCAGCCAUGCCGCGUGUAUGAAGAAGGCCUUCGGGUUGUAAAGUACUUUCAGCGGGGAGGAAGGCGAUAAGGUUAAUAACCUUGUCGAUUGACGUUACCCGCAGAAGAAGCACCGGCUAACUCCGUGCCAGCAGCCGCGGUAAUACGGAGGGUGCAAGCGUUAAUCGGAAUUACUGGGCGUAAAGCGCACGCAGGCGGUCUGUCAAGUCGGAUGUGAAAUCCCCGGGCUCAACCUGGGAACUGCAUUCGAAACUGGCAGGCUAGAGUCUUGUAGAGGGGGGUAGAAUUCCAGGUGUAGCGGUGAAAUGCGUAGAGAUCUGGAGGAAUACCGGUGGCGAAGGCGGCCCCCUGGACAAAGACUGACGCUCAGGUGCGAAAGCGUGGGGAGCAAACAGGAUUAGAUACCCCGGUAGUCCCAUGA
rnacentral:rRNA from 1 species